rnacentral:rRNA from 1 species
AGUGAACGCUGGCGGUAGGCCUAACACAUGCAAGUCGAACGGCAGCACAGUAAGAGCUUGCUCUUACGGGUGGCGAGUGGCGGACGGGUGAGGAAUACAUCGGAAUCUACUUUUUCGUGGGGGAUAACGUAGGGAAACUUACGCUAAUACCGCAUACGCCCUACGGGUGAAAGCAGGGGUUCUUCGGACCUUGCGCGAUUGAUUGAGCCGAUGUCGGAUUAGCUAGUUGGCGGGGUAAAGGCCCACCAAGGCGACGAUCCGUAGCUGGUCUGAGAGGAUGAUCAGCCACACUGGAACUGAGACACGGUCCAGACUCCUACGGGAGGCAGCAGUGGGGAAUAUUGGACAAUGGGCGCAAGCCUGAUCCAGCCAUACCGCGUGGGUGAAGAAGGCCUUCGGGUUGUAAAGCCCUUUUGUUGGGAAAGAAAAGCAGCAGGUUAAUACCCCGCUGUUCUGACGGUACCCAAAGAAUAAGCACCGGCUAACUUCGUG